GUUGGGCUUUUUGGCAGCAAGGGUGUUUCACAAUUUUCUCAUCCAAUCGGUCCCAUCAUUAAACUGUACUGAUUUGCAUUAUCUUAUAUAAUAGCCUCAAACACAAUAGUAGUAGUCAAACACUGAAGAGAACAUAAAGCGUUUGGUAAGUUGAACACGUAGCUUCAUAUUUAUUGGCUAGUUAUAAGGUUUAUAUGUUAUAGGGUCUCUUCCAUUUUAUUAGUGCAUGAAAAUAACACUUGAAAGUGUAGAAUCACUUGUCAACAGAACAACAAGAACAAACAACAGAACAAAAGAGAAGUCUGAUCUAUAAACUGCCCAGUGUCUAAUUUAACGCAAAAGCAAACAUUAAUCAAAGUCAGCAUGGACAGGACCGUGUUUGUGACACUCCUGCUUACAGGUUCCUGCGUAACCUCCCUUUCCUAUCCAAACCUCUACUACUUUGUCAGAAAGCAGAUGACUUGGAAAGCUGCACGAAUCCACUUAUUACACUGACUACACUGGUGAUUUCGCACCCCUCCCUUUUCUGUCAGGGAGAGACAAUAAAAAUUUUUUGGAUUAUUCCCUUUUGGCAUGAUUUAAUUGAACCAACACUGGUGGUUCACUACAUACUGUAUGUACACUUUUGAGCUUCUGAUAGACUAAUUUGCUAAAUUCAGACAGAAAUGUACUUUUCACUAUAAGUAGACAUAAUUCACAGCUGUAUUUACUUUGCAUAUCAAGAUGUUAAAUUCAAAACAUGCAAAAAGCUCACAAAAUACCACUACAUAUCAGUAGAGAUGUCCCGAUUAAGUUUCUUUUGACUAAAUCAAAUCUGAUUAUGUAUUUACCAAAGUAACACAGUUGC